CGAACGGGUGAGUAACACGUGACUAACCUGCCUUUCAGUGGGGGAUAACCCCGGGAAACCGGGGCUAAUACCGCAUGAUCUCUUUGGGAUGAAAAGCCGAAGAGCAAAAGCGCAAGUUGCUGAAAGAGGGGGUCGCGGCUGAUUAGCUAGUUGGCGGGGUAACGGCCCACCAAGGCUAUGAUCAGUAGCCGGCCUGAGAGGGCGCACGGCCACACUGGCACUGAAACACGGGCCAG
rnacentral:rRNA from 1 species